UACAGAGGUGGCAAGCGUUGUUCGGAAUUACUGGGCGUAAAGGGCGCGUAGGCGGCCCGUCAAGUCCCGUGUGAAAGCCCCCGGCUCAACCGGGGAACGGCGCGGGAAACUAGCAGGCUUGAGUUCGGGAGAGGGAAGCGGAAUUCCGGGUGUAGCGGUGAAAUGCGCAGAUAUCGGGAGGAACACCUAUGGCGAAGGCAGCUCGCUGGGACGUUACUGACGCUGAGGGACGAAAGCUAGGGGAGCGAACGGG
rnacentral:rRNA from 1 species